UACGGGGGGGGCAAGCGUUGUUCGGAAUUACUGGGCGUAAAGGGCUCGUAGGCGGCCAACUAAGCCAGACGUGAAAUCCCUCGGCUUAACCGAGGAACUGCCUGUCAGACUGGAUUGCUUGAGUCCGGGAGAGGCGAGUGGAAUUCCCAGUGUAGCGGUGAAAUGCGUAGAUAUUGGGAGGAACACCAGUGGCGAAGGCGGCUCGCUGGACCGGAACUGACGCUGAGGCGCGAAAGCGUGGGGAGCAAACAGG
rnacentral:rRNA from 1 species